AUUGAACGCUGGCGGCAUGCUUUACACAUGCAAGUCGAACGGUAACAGGCCUUCGGGUGCUGACGAGUGGCGAACGGGUGAGUAAUGCAUCGGAACGUACCCAGAGGUGGGGGAUAACGCAGCGAAGGCUGUGCUAAUACCGCAUGUGAUCUGAGGAUGAAAGCGGGGGACCGAGCAGCAAUGUUUGGCCUCGCGCCUUUGGAGCGGCCGAUGUCGGAUUAGCUAGUUGGUGGGGUAAAGGCCUACCAAGGCGACGAUCCGUAGCUGGUCUGAGAGGACGACCAGCCACACUGGGACUGAGACACGGCCCAGACUCCUACGGGAGGCAGCAGUGGGGAAUUUUGGACAAUGGGCGCAAGCCUGAUCCAGCAAUGCCGCGUGCGGGAAGAAGGCCUUCGGGUUGUAAACCGCUUUUGGCAGGAACGAAACGGUGUCCGCUAAUACCGGGCGCUAAUGACGGUACCUGCAGAAUAAGCACCGGCUAACUACGUG
rnacentral:rRNA from 1 species